GAUUAUGAUGAUUCUGUUUAUGACUUCCAAGCAGUGGAUACAGAUUCAACCACAUUACUAUCAGGCCAGGGUUUGAACUCAAUGAAGCAUCAAGAAAUGAAUAGCUUCCACACUUCAUCUCCAAGUACCUCUGAGGAUGCAACCAGUUCAGAUGCUUUGAUUACUCCAAGAGAUGUCAUCGACUCUGUUCAGCAGCCUAUUAAAGAUAGUCUAUCUCCACCACCUCCAGGGUCACCUCUUCAACAGCAUUUUGAUUAUUCUACUAACAAUAAUGUGGUGAACCGUUUUGGGAAGGGAAACCGAAGUAGUCGCUCAGAUCAAGAAAAAGUGAUAACAAACAAAACUACCACACGGCAAAAUUCUAUGAAAGAGGCAUCUCUGGCUACUGAGAUAGAGGUCCCAUUCAAUGAGUACUCUAAUACUGGGGUGUCCCAGGAUUCUGGGGAUGCAAACAGAGAGGAUAAUCAAUUGAAAAUCAACAAAGGAGGUGAAUCAUUUUUCGCAAACAUUAUAAAGAAGAGCUUUAAGGAUUUUUCGAGAUCAAAUCAAACUCAUGAGCGUAGUAGAAGUAAUGUUUCUGUGAAUGGCCAUCCAAUACCAGAUCGUUUGGUUAAGAAGGCUGAGAAGUUGGCUGGACCAAUCCAUCCUGGACUGUAUUGGUAUGAUUUUCGAGCUGGAUUUUGGGGUGUCAUAGGUGGGCCUUGUCUUGGCAUAAUUCCUCCUUUUAUCGAAGAAUUCAAUUAUUCAAUGCCAGAAAAUUGUGGUGGUGGGAAUACUGGUGUUUUUGUAAAUGGUAGAGAACUUCACCAAAAAGAUUUGGAUCUGCAAGCUGGCAGAGGACUUCCAACUGAUAGAGCAAGAUCUUACAUCAUUGAGAUCUCUGGAAGAGUCCUGGAUGAGGACACUGGUGAAGAGCUGGAUAGCCUUGGGAAGCUUGCUCCUACAGUCGAGAAGGUAAAGCAUGGAUUUGGCAUGAAAGUUCCAAAAGCAGCUGCAUAAUGAAACUACAGGAGAUGCAAAGUCCUAAUGUGGCUUCUGGCAUGUGGUAAAAUCUUAAGCCUUC
rnacentral:misc_RNA from 1 species